CGUAUCACUUAAAGCGAUUCAGCGGGUUACGAUUGACGGAGCGAAGCGACGUCAAAGCGUAUACAAAGUCGAGUCGGUUUAAGGAUACGUUCGUUGGGUAGGGGAGCGUUCUGUAAGCCUGUGAAGGUGGCCUGUGAGGGUUGCUGGAGGUAUCAGAAGUGCGAAUGCUGACAUAAGUAACGAUAAAGCGGGUGAAAAGCCCGCUCGCCGGAAGACCAAGGGUUCCUGUCCAACGUUAAUCGGGGCAGGGUGAGUCGACCCCUAAGGCGAGGCCGAAAGGCGUAGUCGAUGGGAAACGGGUUAAUAUUCCCGUACUUGGUGUUACUGCGAAGGGGGGACGGAGAAGGCUAUGUUGGCCGGGCGACGGUUGUCCCGGUUUAAGCGUGUAGGUGUGUGUUCCAGGUAAAUCCGGUUCACUUUAACACUGAGGCGUGAUGACGAGGCACUACGGUGCUGAAGCAACAAAUGCCCUGCUUCCAGGAAAAGCCUCUAAGCAUCAGGUAACAUCAAAUCGUACCCCAAACCGACACAGGUGGUCAGGUAGAGAAUACCAAGGCGCUUGAGAGAACUCGGGUGAAGGAACUAGGCAAAAUGGUGCCGUAACUUCGGGAGAAGGCACGCUGACACGUAGGUGAAGUGAUUUACUCAUGGAGCUGAAGUCAGUCGAAGAUACCAGCUGGCUGCAACUGUUUAUUAAAAACACAGCACUGUGCAAACACGAAAGUGGACGUAUACGGUGUGACGCCUGCCCGGUGCCGGAAGGUUAAUUGAUGGGGUCAGCGCAAGCGAAGCUCCUGAUCGAAGCCCCGGUAAACGGCGGCCGUAACUAUAACGGUCCUAAGGUAGCGAAAUUCCUUGUCGGGUAAGUUCCGACCUGCACGAAUGGCGUAAUGAUGGCCAGGCUGUCUCCACCCGAGACUCAGUGAAAUUGAACUCGCUGUGAAGAUGCAGUGUACCCGCGGCAAGACGGAAAGACCCCGUGAACCUUUACUAUAGCUUGACACUGAACAUUGAGCCUUGAUGUGUAGGAUAGGUGGGAGGCUUUGAAGUGUGGACGCCAGUCUGCAUGGAGCCGACCUUGAAAUACCACCCUUUAAUGUUUGAUGUUCUAACGUGGACCCGUAAUCCGGGUUGCGGACAGUGUCUGGUGGGUAGUUUGACUGGGGCGGUCUCCUCCUAAAGAGUAACGGAGGAGCACGAAGGUUGGCUAAUCCUGGUCGGACAUCAGGAGGUUAGUGCAAUGGCAUAAGCCAGCUUGACUGCGAGCGUGACGGCGCGAGCAGGUGCGAAAGCAGGUCAUAGUGAUC
rnacentral:rRNA from 1 species